AUUGAACGCUGGCGGCAUGCCUUACACAUGCAAGUCGAACGGUAACAGGUCUUCGGAUGCUGACGAGUGGCGAACGGGUGAGUAAUACAUCGGAACGUGCCCGAGAGUGGGGGAUAACGAAGCGAAAGCUUUGCUAAUACCGCAUACGAUCUCAGGAUGAAAGCAGGGGACCGCAAGGCCUUGCGCUCACGGAGCGGCCGAUGGCAGAUUAGGUAGUUGGUGGGAUAAAAGCUUACCAAGCCGACGAUCUGUAGCUGGUCUGAGAGGACGACCAGCCACACUGGGACUGAGACACGGCCCAGACGCCUACGGGAGGCAGCAGUGGGGAAUUUUGGACAAUGGGCGCAAGCCUGAUCCAGCAAUGCCGCGUGCAGGAUGAAGGCCUUCGGGUUGUAAACUGCUUUUGUACGGAACGAAAAGCCCUGGGUUAAUACCCUGGGGUCAUGACGGUACCGUAAGAAUAAGCACCGGCUAACUACGUGCCAGCCGCCGCAGUAAUAC
rnacentral:rRNA from 1 species